rnacentral:misc_RNA from 1 species
AUUCAUUAACCUAUGAGUAAAAAAAAAUCCUAAUAUAGCUUAUUUAAAAGUAUUUUAAACUGAAAAUUAUUUCAUUUAAUAAAAUAAAUUUAAUUUCACAAAAUAAAAUAAAAUUUUAACUUAUUAAAAUUAAAAAAGUUAAUUAAAUUACCAAAAGAGUUAAAAACAAAAUCCAUGAACACAAAGAACUGCAAUAAAGAAG